GAUGAACGCUGGCGGCGUGCCUAAUACAUGCAAGUCGAGCGAACGGACGAGAAGCUUGCUUCUCUGAUGUUAGCGGCGGACGGGUGAGUAACACGUGGAUAACCUACCUAUAAGACUGGGAUAACUUCGGGAAACCGGAGCUAAUACCGGAUAAUAUUUUGAACCGCAUGGUUCAAAAGUGAAAGACGGUCUUGCUGUCACUUAUAGAUGGAUCCGCGCUGCAUUAGCUAGUUGGUAAGGUAACGGCUUACCAAGGCAACGAUGCAUAGCCGACCUGAGAGGGUGAUCGGCCACACUGGAACUGAGACACGGUACAGACUCCUACGGGAGGCAGCAGUAGGGAAUCUUCCGCAAUGGGCGAAAGCCUGACGGAGCAACGCCGCGUGAGUGAUGAAGGUCUUCGGAUCGUAAAACUCUGUUAUUAGGGAAGAACAUAUGUGUAAGUAACUGUGCACAUCUUGACGGUACCUAAUCAGAAAGCCACGGCUAACUGCGUG
rnacentral:rRNA from 1 species